rnacentral:rRNA from 1 species
GUCCACGCCGUAAACGAUGUGUGCUGGAUGUCGGGGGGUAUUCACCCCCUCGGUAUCGAAGCCAACGCGAUAAGCACACCGCCUGGGGAGGUACGGCCGCAAGGUUGAAACUCAAAGGAAUUGACGGGGGCCCCGGCACAAGCGGUGGAGUAUGUGGUUUAAUUCGACGCAACGCGAAGAACCUUACCCAGCCUUGACAUCCUAGGAACCUGGUGGAAACACCGGGUGCCUCCGCAAGGAGGAGCCUGGAGACAGGUGCUGCAUGGCUGUCGU